rnacentral:rRNA from 1 species
CCUACGGGUGACUGCAGUGAGGAAUAUUGGUCAAUGGGCGCUAGCCUGAACCAGCCAAGUAGCGUGAAGGAUGACUGCCCUAUGGGUUGUAAACUUCUUUUAUAUGGGAAUAAAGUGCAGUAUGUAUACUGCUUUGCAUGUACCUUAUGAAUAAGGAUCGGCUAACUCCGUGCCAGCAGCCGCGGUAAUACGGAGGAUCCGAGCGUUAUCCGGAUUUAUUGGGUUUAAAGGGAGCGUAGGCGGGUUGUUAAGUCAGUUGUGAAAGUUUGCGGCUCAACCGUAAAAUUGCAGUUGAUACUGGCAGCCUUGAGUACAGUAGAGGUAGGCGGAAUUCGUGGUGUAGCGGUGAAAUGCUUAGAUAUCACGAAGAACUCCGAUUGCGAAGGCAGCCUGCUGGACUGUAACUGACGCUGAUGCUCGAAAGUGUGGGUAUCAAACAGGAUUAGAUACCCUAGUAGUC